CACAAAUAAAAAUCAUUCACCAAAUAUAAUUACAUUUAAACUUAAAAAUAGUUAGCAAAUAUGUUCUGUAUCUAUUAUUAUGUACCUAAAAAAUACAUAUCUGCAUCCUCGUGAGUUAGAUAUGCAACUGAUUUUAACCAAAUUUGUGCUCCUUAUCAAAUAGUGCACUAGACUUCCAACCCGAGACCAGGAAACCAAUGGACCAGCACAAGCAUGCCAUAGCUGAGAAUUUAUUGUCUUCCUUGUCCCUCGAGCAAAUCAAGUUUUUUUUUUUAAAAAAAAAAAAAAAAAUAUAUAUAUAUAUAUAUAUAUAUAUAUAUAACAAAAUGUAUUCAAAGAUCACAAAAUUAUGAAUCAGGAACCAAAUAUAUAACUAACCAACAAAAAGGACGAGAAACAAUACAUCAAUAUUAACUUAAAUCACAAACUCCAGCAACUAUUUGAAUUCAAAUCAUAAUUAACUAAAAUUAAUUCUCCCUGCUCAACAAUAACAAAUGGCAGACAAGGAAAGGAAUUAUCAGCAUUGUUCUCCUCUGUGAAAUUGAUUGUUGAGUUAAUGACCAGAAGAGUAAUAAUCCCAACAAAGUCCUCCCAAUCCGGUGGUUUUCCUCGUAAAGAUUAAAAAUGUAGGUAGACUGAUAAUAAGACCCAAAAAAAUUGGAGGGGGAAGGGAGAGGGGACAGAUAAAAAUAAAUAAAAUCUGUUCACCCAAUUUAAAAAUCUUAUUUUUUUUUUUUCUAAUUUUGCAAUAUAUUUUCAAUUUCAAAGAGGAUUUGAAACUAUAAUAGUUCAUUUCGUAAAAUCCCUAUUCUUUUCUACAGAGAUUUCCGAUCGAAGAACUUCAUUCGGAAUUAAAAUAUGGGGAGGAAAAACAGAGUGCAAAAAAAUGAACAAUAAAUAAAUAGUAUAAAACCAAACCCAAAUUGCUGAAAAUUUUGCAUCAAUGCCUUAAUGGAAUAACUAAAUGGUCAAUCUAACUAGAUUAAAUGAAAAGCCAUAUAUGAAUUUCUACAUGGAUCUAACACUUUAAUAAAAUAAGACUCAAGCAGGUUAAAAUAAGGUAAUGCAUGAGAUCGACGUGAGUGAUGCCUCAAGACUAAACAGAUUCCCAUAGUUCUUCAACUUUAGCUUGACUUCUCGAAGUUCUAUUGACCGCGUGAUCCUUAUUAACUAACUCAGGCAAGCCUAAUUAUUUGUUUAUUUGCAAUAUAGUUUUGCUUAAUAAUUUUUUUAUUACUCAUUCAUGUAACAAGAAAUAAGCACUUUCGAAAAACCAACAGUAGUAGGUUGACUCUGGCCUCCAAUUGUUUAGGCCUAACUGUAAAGGGGGGGGGCAUGUAUAGAGGGUUAAGUUGCAACUAUAAAGCAAUUCUUUAGCUUUUUGUAUUCAAAUAAUGUCAAAUCAAUGGAAUUACAGAAAGAUUCAUCACGCCCUUUAUUUAACAAGACAAAAUUGAUAAUUGAACUUUCACUUUUCAAACUCAAUUUAUUAUCCUCAACUAAGUGAAGUACUGAGGCAAGAACAGUACUAGUAAGUCAAUUUUUGCAUAUAAUUUCCCUGAUUAAACCAUGCUUUAAGAAGAGAUUUGGUCAUAGUAUCUUUGUAAGUAAAAACUAACAGCGGGAUUCAGGCUGAAUGAGAAUUAAGACAGUUUCUUUAUUGCAGAGUUCUGAUUGAUAAGGCAAUAAAUUAAGACAGUUGAAUAAGCAUUUUAUAGUACGUACUAUACAAUUAAUGUGGUAGAAUAAGGUUCAAUGGAAACCAGAGCCAAAAGUGGAUACACGGAACAAAGACAAAACAAAGUCAGAACAACGACUCCAUCUCAUAAAUUAGUUGAAGCACAAUAUUAAUCAGAAGUUCAGGACACAAAACAUUAUGAUGAUUUGGAAACCAUAACAUUUUCAAUCGAGUUUGAACCUUCACUUUACUGUAGAUCGCAGAUAUUCCACUACAACCCAAUAAAUGAAUUGACUCAAAACAUUAUGAUAAUUUGGAACCCAAAACAUUUUCAAUGGAGUUUGAACCUUCAAUUUACUGUAGAUCUCAUAUAUUUCAUUGCAACCCAAUAAAUGAAUCGAUAGAAACCCAAUAAAUGAAUUUAUAACCUAAUUUGAAUUUCACAUUAUUUUCCAACAAAAUAGAUAACAACCCAACAAAUAAAAACCAAUAAUGAUACCUCUAAGCUGUCUUUGGCCCUAGCUUAGAUCUUUAGGUUACUGGGCUUGACGGCUGAUGGCUGAUUCAAGGUGGCGGGACGAUAAUCUUGUGGCGGGUCAGAGCAGAGAAAAUUGAAGGGAGAAGAAGAAGAAAGAACGAGGAAAAGGAAAAUGGAAAAAAGAAGGGAAAAUGGACAGAAAACGUGGGAAGAAAAAGAAAGGAAAGGGCAAAGUACAAAAAACAAAAAAAAGAAAAAAAGAAAAGAAAAGGAAAUUAUCUUUUUACUUCAAAU
rnacentral:lncRNA from 1 species